CCUACGGGAGGCAGCAGUGAGGAAUAUUGGUCAGUGGCCGAGAGGCUGAACCAGCCAAGUCGCGUGAGGGAAGACGGCCCUACGGGUUGUAAACCUCUUUUGUCGGGGAGCAAAGCGCGUCACGUGUGCCUCAUUGCGAGUACCCGACGAACAAGCAUCGGCUAACUCCGUGCCAGCAGCCGCGGUAAUACGGAGGAUGCGAGCGUUAUCCGGAUUUAUUGGGUUUAAAGGGUGCGCAGGCGGAGGUGCAAGUCAGCGGUCAAAUUGCGGGGCUCAACCCCGUACUGCCGUUGAAACUGCCGCCCUUGAGUGCGCGAGAAGUAGGCGGAAUGCGUGGUGUAGCGGUGAAAGGCAUAGAUAUCACGCAGAACUCCGAUUGCGAAGGCAGCAUACCGGCGCGCAACUGACGCUCAUGCACGAAAGCGUGGGUAUCGAACAGGAUUAGAUACCCGGGUAGUC
rnacentral:rRNA from 1 species